ACGCUGGCGGCGUGCUUAACACAUGCAAGUCGAACGAUGAAGCCUAGCUUGCUAGGUGGAUUAGUGGCGAACGGGUGAGUAAUACGUGAGUAACCUACCUUUAACUCUGGGAUAAGCCUGGGAAACUGGGUCUAAUACCGGAUACGACCAAUCUCCGCAUGGGGUGUUGGUGGAAAGCGUUAUGUAGUGGUUAUAGAUGGGCUCACGGCCUAUCAGCUUGUUGGUGAGGUAACGGCUCACCAAGGCGACGACGGGUAGCCGGCCUGAGAGGGUGACCGGCCACACUGGGACUGAGACACGGCCCAGACUCCUACGGGAGGCAGCAGUGGGGAAUAUUGCACAAUGGGCGCAAGCCUGAUGCAGCGACGCCGCGUGAGGGAUGACGGCCUUCGGGUUGUAAACCUCUGUUAGCAGGGAAGAAGAGAGAUUGACGGUACCUGCGGAGAAAGCGCCGGCUAACUACGUGCCAGCAGCCGCGGUAAUACGUAGGGCGCGAGCGUUGUCCGGAAUUAUUGGGCGUAAAGAGCUUGUAGGCGGUUUGUCGCGUCUGCUGUGAAAGGCCGGAGCUUAACUCCGUGUAUUGCAGUGGGUACGGGCAGACUAGAGUGCAGUAGGGGAGACUGGAAUUCCUGGUGUAGCGGUGGAAUGCGCAGAUAUCAGGAGGAACACCGAUGGCGAAGGCAGGUCUCUGGGCUGUAACUGACGCUGAGAAGCGAAAGCAUGGGGAGCGAACAGGAUUAGAUACCCUGGUAGUCCAUGCCGUAAACGUUGGGCACUAGGUGUGGGGGACAUUCCACGUUUUCCGCGCCGUAGCUAACGCAUUAAGUGCCCCGCCUGGGGAGUACGGCCGCAAGGCUAAAACUCAAAGAAAUUGACGGGGGCCCGCACAAGCGGCGGAGCAUGCGGAUUA
rnacentral:rRNA from 1 species